AACGAACGCUGGCGGCAGGCUUAAUACAUGCAAGUCGAGGGGCAGCAGGGGUGUAGCAAUACACUUGCUGGCGACCGGCAAACGGGUGCGGAACACGUACGCAACUUACCCUGAACUGGGGGAUAGCCCGGGGAAACCCGGAUUAAUACCCCGUAACACUGUGAGGUGGCAUCACCUUAUAGUUAUAGCUCCGGUGGUUCAGGAUGGGCGUGCGGCUGAUUAGGUAGUUGGUUGGGGUAAUGGCCCACCAAGCCUACGAUCAGUAACUGGUGUGAGAGCACGACCAGUCACACGGGCACUGAGACACGGGCCCGACUCCUACGGGAGGCAGCAGUAAGGAAUAUUGGGCAAUGGAGGCAACUCUGACCCAGCCAUGCCGCGUGGAGGAUGAAGGCCCUCUGGGUUGUAAACUUCUUUUACCUGGGACGAGGCCUUUCUUUUCUAAGGGAGUUGACGGUACCAGGGGAAUAAGCACCGGCUAACUCCGUGCCAGCCGCCGCGGUAAGAC
rnacentral:rRNA from 1 species